UUACACACUCAUUGUCGUAUCAUGAAUGUUCUUUGCGCUUAAAUAACGCAUUAUAUAUAACUUUUAGCAACGGAUCUCUUGGCUCUCGCAUCGAUGAAGAACGCAGCGAAAUGCGAUAAGUAAUGUGAAUUGCAGAAUUCAGUGAAUCAUCGAAUCUUUGAACGCAACUUGCGCCCUUUGGUAUUCCGAAGGGCAUGCCCGUUUGAGUGUCAUGGUAUUCUCAAAGCCCUCUUCAUUUUUUUGAUGAUGUUGGUGCUUUGGAUUUGGAGGUCUUUUUGCAGGUUUAGUAAUAGAUCUGCUCCUCUUGAAUGUAUUAGCUGGAAAUCUUUGCUCAGGUCUAGCUUCAGUGUGAUAAUUGUCUACGCUGUAGCUGUCUAAGCACAUGUAUGGAAUUCCGCUCCUAGUUGUCUUUAAGACAGAUCAUAACGAUCUUUUGACAUCUGACCUCAAAUCGGGUAGGACUACCCGCUGAACUUAAGCAUAUCAAUAAGCGGAGGAAAAGAAACUAACAAGGAUUCCCCUAGUAACUGCGAGUGAAGCGGGAAAAGCUCAAAUUUAAAAUCUGGCGGUUUUGGCCGUCCGAGUUGUAGUCUGGAGAAGUGCUUUCUGUGCUGGACCGUGUACAAGUCUCUUGGAACAGAGCGUCGUAGAGGGUGAGAAUCCCGUCUUUGACACGGACUACCAGUGCUUUGUGAUGCGCUCUCAAAGAGUCGAGUUGUUUGGGAAUGCAGCUCAAAAUGGGUGGUGAAUUCCAUCUAAAGCUAAAUAUUGGCGAGAGACCGAUAGCGAACAAGUACCGUGAGGGAAAGAUGAAAAGCACUUUGGAAAGAGAGUUAAACAGUACGUGAAAUUGCUAAAAGGGAAACGCUUGAAGUCAGUCGCGUUGUCCGAAACUCAGCCUUGCCUUGGCUUGGUGUAUUUUUCGGUUAACGGGUCAGCAUCGAUUUUGACCGAUGGAUAAAGGUCAGGGGAAUGUGGCACCUUCGGGUGUGUUAUAGCCUCUGAUUGUAUACAUCGGUUGGGAUCGAGGAACUCAGCUUCGGCUUAGGAUGCUGGCAUAAUGGCUUUAAACGACCCGUCUUGAAACACGGACCAAGGAGUCUAACAUGCCCGCGAGUGUUUGGGUGGUAAACUCAGGCGCGUAAUGAAAGUGAAUGUUGAGACCUCUGUCGUGGAGGGCAUCAACGCCCGGACCUGACGUUCUCUGACGGCUCCGCGGUAGAGCGUGUAUGUUGGGACCCGAAAGAUGGUGAACUAUGCCUGAAUAGGGUGAAGCCAGAGGAAACUCUGGUGGAGGCUCGUAGCGAUUCUGACGUGCAAAUCGAUCGUCAAAUUUGGGUAUAGGGGCGAAAGACUAAUCGAACCAUCUAGUAGCUGGUUCCUGCCGAAGUUUCCCUCAGGAUAGCAGAAACUCGUAUCAGAUUUAUGUGGUAAAGCGAAUGAUUAGAGGCCUUGGGGUUGAAACAACCUUAACCUAUUCUCAAACUUUAAAUAUGUAAGAACGAGCCGUCACUUGAUUGGACCGCUCGGCGAUUGAGAGUUUCUAGUGGGCCAUUUUUGGUAAGCAGAACUGGCGAUGCGGGAUGAACCGAACGUGAGGUUAAGGUGCCGGAAUAUACGCUCAUCAGACACCACAAAAGGUGUUAGUUCAUCUAGACAGCAGGACGGUGGCCAUGGAAGUCGGAAUCCGCUAAGGAGUGUGUAACAACUCACCUGCCGAAUGAACUAGCCCUGAAAAUGGAUGGCGCUCAAGCGUAUUACCCAUACCUCACCGUCAGCGUUAUAGUGAUGCGUUGACGAGUAGGCAGGCGUGGAGGUUUGUGAAGAAGCCUAGGCAGUGAUGCUGGGUGAAACAGCCUCUAGUGCAGAUCU
rnacentral:rRNA from 1 species